rnacentral:tRNA from 1 species
AGUAACUCAGUGGUAGAGCGGUCGGCUGUUAACUGACUGGUCGUAGGUUCGAAUCCUACUUCUUUCUG